ensembl:lncRNA
AACCCAGCCCCUGCCACAAGCCCCGACUGGGACAGGUACACAAAGUGUUUGUGGUAAAAUGACGGCAGGCUAUGAUUAAGGGCACAGCAUUUAGUGAAGAGCAGUCCAUUUUGGGGUUGCCAAGAGUCGGACGUGACUUAGCGACUGAAAAACAACAGGCCGUUUGGAGAAUCCAGGCUUUGCUCCAAGAAUCCGGAUGAUGUCCCAGUUUAAAAUGUGGUCAGGCAAUGGAGAAAGAAGGAAGCUUCUGGAGAAUACUGAAGAGACCUGGAAUCUCUUGGUUUCACACAGUCUUUGAAGGCUAGUUACAGUGAGUCCCCUACAUACAAACCUUCAAGUUGUGAACUUACAAAGCUGUGAACAUGUAUUCCAUCAACAUCAGGCAUGAGUGAAAUUAUUUUCCGUCUUUUACUGUUGACAAUCCUUCAGCUCUACCAUCUCCCACCACCACUCCCUCCUCCAGUCAGUAGCUCUUCUUGCUUGUUCACUCGAUGCCAGCUCCUGUAUGCCAGCUGCUGCACUGUACUACUGUACUUUUCAAGUGGGAACUUGCCUCCCUGUCCACAGGAUCCUCCAGACAAACCUCCACAGUUGCUUCUUUUCAAGGCCACCACAGUUUCCAUCCUCAGGAUCUAUCCCUGGGAUCUCCUUCUUUCUCUGGCCAGCUUCUUUACCUUGAGCCCACACGCUCAAAUUUUCCUAAGCUGGUUCUAUUUCACCUAUAGGAUUAGAAGAAAGUAUCUUGAGAGGAAUCUACUUGUUUAAUAUAAUAAGGUGAUUGAGUUAUUGACCUUAUUGACUCUACAAGAAUACCUUACAAAUAUUACAUCAUUCCCAGACCAGAAUUCUAGAAUAUACUUCUUUGAAUGAAAACCUUGGUAAUUUAGAGGUAAUUCAUUGCUUCUCUGAGAAGAAUACAACCCAUUGAGCAAAAACCUCAACAUUUAUUUAUGGAUCAGACAGUAAAGAAUUUAAAUCUGCAAUGCAGGAG